rnacentral:rRNA from 1 species
GCCUCACCGCGAGUACUGGUCCGGCUGGGCCUUUCCUUCUGGGGAACCUCAUGGCCUUCACUGGCUGUGGGGGGAACCAGGACUUUUACUGUGAAAAAAUUAGAGUGUUCAAAGCAGGCCUUUGCUCGAAUACAUUAGCAUGGAAUAAUAGAAUAGGACGUGUGGUUCUAUUUUGUUGGUUUCUAGGACCGCCGUAAUGAUUAAUAGGGAUAGUCGGGGGCGUCAGUAUUCAGCUGUCAGAGGUGAAAUUCUUGGAUUUGCUGAAGACUAACUACUGCGAAAGCAUUCGCCAAGGAUGUUUUCAUUAAUCAGGGAACGAAAGUUAGGGGAUCGAAGACGAUCAGAUACCGUCGUAGUCUUAACCAUAAACUAUGCCGACUAGGGAUCGGACGGGAUUCUAUAAUGACCCGUUCGGCACCUUACGAGAAAUCAAAGUUUUUGGGUUCUGGGGGGAGUAUGGUCGCAAGGCUGAAACUUAAAGAAAUUGACGGAG